UUUGUUUAGAAUCGAUUGCGCUGCCCCUAUUUUUACUGAGAUCCGUCGAAGUAUUGUUGGUAAGAUUGAAGUUAUGAAAUUGUAGUCGUUUUCAAAACAAUUUAAGUAUGGGUUGUGAUGUUUUCAAGGUGUUCAAACGUUACGGAUGGGUUAAUUGACUAAUUUGAUAAAUUAUUCUUGAAGGUGUGAAAGGUAACCUUGGAUCACUUAAAUUCACAACCAAUUUGUGAAUUUUGAUUUCGGUUUGCCCUUAUUUGGAUUGUUUCGUGGACGAUAGUUGAUUAAGGGAGCUUCCCUAACUUUGAGGCAAAGGUAAUAAAGGCAGCAAACCGGCGAGGGGCAGGAAGGAAGCGUGACCGCCACAGGGGACACUUUAAAAUUUUGCUUCCGCUUAGUGAUUUAUAGUAUUAUUUGUAUUCGAACGUGAGACUGUUUAGAAAAUUUUGAAGUUUUAAAGUAUUCAAAGAUUUGAAACUUUUUAGUUUUAAA